rnacentral:misc_RNA from 1 species
GGGAGCCGGAGCAGCAUCAGCAAAAAUGGCGAUAACCCUAACAACCCCAUUCCUUCCCUCAAUCAAAUCCCCGCCAGCCAACGGCGCCACCCACAAGCUCCCCUUCGUUCAGACGGGGCGCUGGGAGUGCCGGAAGAAAGGCGUCCACCCGGACUUCUACGACGACGCCCGGGUGUUCUGCAAUGGGGAGCUGGUGAUGACCACCGGCGGGACGCAGCAGGAGUACACCGUCGACGUGUGGUCAGGCAACCACCCGUUCUAUCUCGGCAACCGCUCCGCCCUCCUCAUUGAUGCUGACCAGGUUGAGAAGUUCAGGAAGAAGUAUGGAGAGUUCUCGUCGAUCAUGGAAAUUCCGACACUACGGGGGGAGAUUGUGCUCCCGCAGAGGAAGAAGGAGGCAAAGGGGAAAGGGAAGAAGUAGAUUGGAG